GAUGAACGCUGGCGGCGUGCUUAACACAUGCAAGUCGAACGGUGAAGGCGGAGCUUGCUCUGCUGGAUCAGUGGCGAACGGGUGAGUAACACGUGAGCAAUCUGCCCCUGACUCUGGGAUAAGCGCUGGAAACGGCGUCUAAUACUGGAUACGAGCUGCGAAGGCAUCUUCAGCAGCUGGAAAGAAUUUCGGUUAGGGAUGAGCUCGCGGCCUAUCAGCUUGUUGGUGAGGUAAUGGCUCACCAAGGCGUCGACGGGUAGCCGGCCUGAGAGGGUGACCGGCCACACUGGGACUGAGACACGGCCCAGACUCCUACGGGAGGCAGCAGUGGGGAAUAUUGCACAAUGGGCGAAAGCCUGAUGCAGCAACGCCGCGUGAGGGACGACGGCCCUCGGGUUGUAAACCUCUUUUAGCAGGGAAGAAGCGAAAGUGACGGUACCUGCAGAAAAAGCGCCGGCUAACUACGUG
rnacentral:rRNA from 1 species